UACAGAGGGUGCAAGCGUUAAUCGGAAUUACUGGGCGUAAAGGGUGCGUAGGUGGUUGAAUAAGUUAGGUGUGAAAGCCCUGGGCUUAACCUGGGAAUUGCGCCUAAUACUGUUUAGCUAGAGUACUGUAGAGGAAGGUGGAAUUUCCGGUGUAGCGGUGAAAUGCGUAGAUAUCGGAAGGAACAUCAGUGGCGAAGGCGACUUUCUGGACAGAUACUGACACUGAGGCACGAAAGCAUGGGGAGCAAACAGG
rnacentral:rRNA from 1 species